rnacentral:rRNA from 1 species
AGUGAACGCUGGCGGUAGGCCUAACACAUGCAAGUCGAACGGCAGCACAGUAAGAGCUUGCUCUUACGGGUGGCGAGUGGCGGACGGGUGAGGAAUACAUCGGAAUCUACUUUUUCGUGGGGGAUAACGUAGGGAAACUUACGCUAAUACCGCAUACGACCUACGGGUGAAAGCAGGGGAUCUUCGGACCUUGCGCGAUUGAAUGAGCCGAUGUCGGAUUAGCUAGUUGGCGGGGUAAAGGCCCACCAAGGCGACGAUCCGUAGCUGGUCUGAGAGGAUGAUCAGCCACACUGGAACUGGGACACGGGCCAGACUCCUACGGGAGGCAGCAGUGGGGAAUAUUGGACAAUGGGCGCAAGCCUGAUCCAGCCAUACCGCGUGGGUGAAGAAGGCCUUCGGGUUGUAAAGCCCUUUUGUUGGGAAAGAAAAGCAGCAGGUUAAUACCCCGCUGUUCUGACGGUACCCAAAGAAUAAGCACCGGCUAACUUCGU